AUGAGAAGAACCUCUAAGAAGAACAGUGAGGAUGCAGGGUUUCCCAAACUGUCUCCCUUCCCACCAGCUACCCGCCUCCUCCCCAAGCCAAACACAUACUACACCUUUCUCCAAAACUCAAAUCCAUCUUGUGUAAGCAGUCUGGGAAUGUCUAACUUCAGAGGGAGAGCUAAUCCAGACUAUCGCAUCAAUUCUCCCAGCCGUGUUCAUAGAACAGGGAUUAGGGGGCUUAAACCACAGCAGAGCUGGAGCAGAUUUGGCAAGUCAUUCAUCUGUCCAGAUGCUAAAAUCGUGGAGGAGAAUAGUGUAUCAGAAAGAAGAGAUCUUUGAAGAGCCGUUUUCCUCUGAGGCCCAGGCAUUUGCAUUUUAAAAGAGGAAGACCAAGAUUCUGGAAUUGGCUUCGCCAAUGGCAGUGCUAUUUGCAGAAUCCAAGAAAGAGAAGGGACUGCAGAGGUCAGUGAUCUUCCCAGCUAAUGGUUAACCCCUAUUUUGACCACAGACCAGUCCAGCAGCCAAGAGCUUUGGGAAGGAGGAAGGGACGAGAGCCCCCACUGUAGAACCACCACAUUGGGGAAUGUCACCCUCUUGGUUUAAUCUCUCUGACAAGCAUACUGGUUGGGGUGGGAGGUAGGUGAAGAAGAACAAAAACACUGUAAGAGAAGUCUGAGGAUCUUUCUUGCUUUCUGAAAUCAAAACCAAAGUUGACAUCCUACUGUAUAGAACAUGGAACUUUUCUCAAUGUUAUGUGGCAGCCUGGAUGGGAGGGAAGUUUGGAGGAGCAUGGAUUCUUAUGUAUAGCUGAGUCCCUUCACUGUUCACCAGUCCAGACACAUAUUCAUAGCUCCUCUGCUGCUGCUGCUGAGUCCCUUCAGUCGCGUCCGACUCUGUACGACCCCAUAGACGGCAGCC
rnacentral:lncRNA from 1 species